rnacentral:rRNA from 1 species
GACGAACGCUGGCGGCGUGCCUAAUACAUGCAAGUCGAACGGACAGACCCGGCUCUUGCUGGUCUCACGAGUGCCGAACAGGGGUGAGAAACGCGUGUAACCUCCCCCUGAAAUUGGGAUAACUCUUGGGAACACGGGCGCAUACCCGGUAUGAGCUACUGCUGCAUGUGGUUGGAUGGAAAGAUUCGGCGGUUGGGGAAGGACUCGCGGCGUAUCAGCUAGUUUGUAAGGUAGUGGGUUACCAAGGCUAUGACGGGUAGCCGACCUGAGAGGGUGAUCGGCGACACUGGAGCUGAGACACGGUCCAGACUCCUACGGGAGGGAGCAGUAGGGAAUCUGCCGCAAUGGGGGAAAGCCUGACGGAGCAGCGCCGCGUGAGUGAUGAAGGUCCUCGGAGCGUAAAACUCUGUUAUGAGGGAAGAACAAAUGUGUAAGGUACUAUGCACGUCGUGACGGUACCUAAUCAGAAAGCCACGGCUAACUACGUG